ensembl:snRNA U4 U4 spliceosomal RNA
AUCUUUGCACAGUGGCAGUAUAGUCAAUGAGGUUUAUCCAUGGCACAGUUAUUGUUAAUUGAAAACUUUUCCCAAUCCUCUGCAGUGAUGACUUGAAAUAGAGUUGACAUUGGCAAUUUUUUUAAAGUAUCAAAUUAU